GGUUACAUUCCCCAAAGUUAAAGUGAGGCUAAAAUUGGGUAGUGUCCAAAGGAAUAUACCUCACCUUACUCAGGUUGGUCCCAUGUUAGUUACACAUUGGGAGCUUAGUGGGCCGGUUGUUCUUCGGUUAUCUGCUUGGGGUGCUCGUUUUCUGUUCAGUUCAGGUUACAAAGAUAUUGUUAUCAUUUGGGUGCAGGCAAACUUUUUUGUGGAUUUUAUCCCUGAUCUGCAAUUCUGCAUGAGAAAGUUUGAAGUCAGUUCUUUCUCAUCACAAGCUUCAAUAUGCGAAACAAAAAGUACUCAAUUCCUGUCCUCCUGAAUUUGGCAUAACUAAAAGAUUUUGGAGCUAUGUGUUGGAACGAAAGGGUUUAAGGGGAGAUAUUCUGUGGGCUUCCAUAUCAAAUAAUUCAUUGAUGUCCAUUGAUUCUUUGUUAAAGGACUGCAUAUUUGAUGUUACAGGAAAGAGGGUCAAUUUAAGGAUGAAUUUGUUACUGCUGGUGGUGUUCCCUUAUCAGAGAUACUGAAUGUUGAUGGGGUAACUGGUGGUUUCAAUUUCCAGAAUGCUUGGUCGGGAGGAUUUAUUGCAGGAACCACUAUCGGUGGAUUAGCACUUGGUUCUUAUCUAGGUUCAAAGUAAACGCAAAUUUUCAAAGUCGCAUGCUUUUGUGUAGGCAACUUGAUUUUUCAUUUUUGGGAUGUCAACGAGGAUAAGUAGUACAUUUUAUCUAAUUCUUUUUGGAUGCACUUUUCCUUUUCCGAGCAUAAAGAUAGUUUAAUGGAUGAGAUUUUAAUACGAAAAGUUCUUUAAA